UUUCUCAGUUUGCUAAACUACUCAUUCUUCAUUCAACCUAGCAGAGUGCUGCUUUCUUACUGUUUCACUGCUAGCAUAGUGAAACAAUGAUAGUGUUAUCAUGUGUUUGUAUAGACAAAGUGGGGGAGUCACUUGUAUAGUACAGAUUUUGGUGUGCUUAAACAGGCAGCUUUGUGGUAAGAGUGUUGGUGGUAAAUAGAUUCCCCUUUUUACCUUCCUUGAGAGUUUCAUCUGAUUGGAGAUGUCUUCCCAGACAAAAGAAAAAAAUGAAGCAGGAUGUAUUCUGCGAGGUCCUCAGUCAGGUCUUAGUCUAUGCUACCCAUGAUGUGCUUUCAUCUCCAAAAAGGAGCAUCACACAAACAUCCAAUUAACCCAUGAUCCUGCAAUCUGUGAUACACCACUAGUUACAACUACACUUGAACCUCAAGGUAUUUGGUUGUCUGAAACAUGCCAUUGGUAUGAGGCAAAGGGGAAGCUCACUGCACUCUGUCAUCUUCAGGAGACGUGAAACAAAACCUUGAAAGAGAAAUCGCUAGAGAAAAUGUAAGCAAGUAAAAUAUACACAUUGCUUGGAGGGAAGGAAGGACUGCUGAGUGCUUUUCAAUGGCUGAAUACUUCAAUGCUACUUACUUCAAUGACCCAAGAUUCACUUCACCAGCUGGAGAGGAGAGGAGAGGAAAUUGAGCUCCCUCAAGCUAAGGAGACACUAAAGAAGGGGAGCUAUCCUUCUACUUUUAGCAGAGGAACCAGAGCUGUGCUUACCACCAUCCAGAGGCCACCUCUACUCCUUCCCUUAGCAGACAACCCUAAAAAAAUAUUCUAUUUGCCUGUCUAUAUCUGAUUUUAUAGAAGGUGAGUGGUGUAGAGUUCCCCUGCCCCCCUAUUUGGUUAAUCGAUUUUAACACUGUUUUUCAAGUUUGAAAACAAUGUUUUUCAAAUUUGGAAAAAAAUGUGGCAAAACAUUUUGACAAUUAUUCUGCUUUGCAUUUUAGUUUUUUCCUUUCCUUCAUCUUCAUUCCUUUUUCUCUUCUUCCUUUCUCUAUUUUCAGGUCGUCUUUUCUCAUUCUUUUUCAGUCUUUUUUCCAUAGCCCUUUUUCCAAGAGUUGACUACAUACAAUGUGCAAUUGCAUAUGUGAAUUGAGGAAAUGUCUGCAAAGUCAGAAAUGGGAAGCUUACAAUUAUAUAUGAAAACAGACGUUUUCUCUGUACCAAACAGGAAAUUGUAUGAGCAAAUACAAAUUAUGAUUUAUUUC